rnacentral:lncRNA from 1 species
AGAGAUAAUUGAUUAACGAAAAUAGGUGAAGUUAGAUUUCCAAGACCAUAAAAUUGAUUGAGAAACUUAGUAAUUUUUAUAAUUUGGUACUUAGCAACUUAUAAUUUGGUCUGCUUGGGAACGACAUCUUCUUAUCACUUUAUUACUUGAUUCGGCACGUGCAUUUACGUGGUGAAUUUUCACACAUCUUGAACCAUAUGUGAUACCACUAAAACGUAGACCAAACUUCAUAUUGUAACACAUUUCCUCAUGUUGUGCUGCUUUAAACACCCGAAAUUGCUUGUUGAGAUUCUCAUCCACCUCCAAAAUUGCAGCACCGUUACCAUAUUUGCAUCAUCACCACCAUGAACCAACCAACCACCAAUUGGCACAAGGAAAGACAAAAAUAUCAUUUACCUGUAGCGGUAAUUGGGAGCUGACCAGAUGGUGACUAUUUGGUUAUUCAACAUCUAUUUGUACCUUUCCAUGACCAACUGAUGGGCACGACAUAUAUAGUCGAUGUUGUUGGUGUGGUUGAACAAAGAAAUGUUGGUGCUACCGAAGAGGAAUUCUGCACCACGCAGACUCAAAGCCCAACCAUCGACGACAUCUUCUGGAUCCGACCACAACAAGUCACACAUGGCACCAUCAUGAGGUACUAACAAAGAAAUGUUAGUACGUAUGUUAUGAUUAAUCUUCCUUAUGAAUGAAAUUAUCAAACUUCUUCUUCUGCUUCUUCUUCUUCUCCAUUUCUUUUAUAAAAUUCAUUGUCACUGCCAAGGUUAUGACAACCAGAGCCUACAAAGAUUCACUAGUCGAGUUAGGAAAGCAAAAAAAAGGUGAACACUAUGGUGGGAGCCGAAGGCACUAGAUUCACACAGUUGCAUGAGCAAAUACAAUGGUGCAGGAACAAUUAGAAAGCCUGCAAGAUGAAACCAAAAUUCCUAAGUGGUUGGAAGAGCAAAAAAGUAGUAUCGAUGCCACAUUUGUAGAAACACAGAGAUAUAUUAGUAGAAUAUUGGAGUCAUUGACCAAAAAGGGUGAAGAAUCCUCCUCCAAUACACCUGAAACACAAAGAAAGAACAUGAAUCAAGUAGUUACUAAUACCUAAUCAAAAGCAGAUAAAAAAAAAAAAAAACAGUACAAGUCAUUGUUAAAGAUGAGCAUGAAAGAUAUACCUUCCAACUUGGGGAACCAAACUAAAUUCCCAAUAUGAACUCAAAUCCUGAAAAGAAGAUACCAAAAAAAAUAUAAGACUUGGUUAAACUUGACAGUUCAUCUGAACCUCCAUUACCUGAAACUUCUGCUACUGCUACUGCUAAUAACCUUGGGGUGGGUCAAGAAAUGUCAAAGAUAUUUCUCAAUGUUUUCUGUAGCUGAGGAUCAGAAGGUUGAUAUUGCUUCCAUGUAUUUGGUGGGAAAGGCAGAGACUUGGUAUGAUGGCUAUAUUUUGCAAAAGCAUCGAACCACUUGGCCUGAAUUUGUUGUAGAUCUUUGUCAGAGAUUUUGUGAUAGGACCUGUGCAGAUGUAGUUGAGGAAUUCAACAAGUUAGUUCAACAGAGUAUUGUAGAAUAUUACCAGGAGAAGUUCUAAGAAUUAAGGUCAUUUAUGCUUCAGUAUAACCCUCACCUGGAAGAAAAUUACAUUGUAUCCAGCUUCAUCGGUAGAUUGAAGGAAGAUAUUAAACACAGGGCUAAGGUCAAUAAGCCUUCUUUAGCUAGUGCUGGUACUGCUGCCAGGCAAGCUAAAUUGCAUGAAAUGUCAGUACAGAUUGAUUACCAAAUUCAACCAAACCCUCACCCUAACCUUUCCUCAAAGGACUUGUCCCGACCUUAGAAAUCAAACCAAGUCAGUUCACAAAACGGAAAAGCUUUUUUGGAUUAUAGAAGAGCCAAUGACCUCAGUUUUAGGUAUGGAGAAAAGUUUACUCCUGGCCAUCAAUGCAAGGUUAAAUAUUUUAAUUCCAUGGAAGAAGAAAUAAUAGAGGAAAAGGAGGUUGCAACUGAAGAAAAAGAAAUGAUGAAACAUUGGAGAUAUCUAUUAAUGCCUUGAUAGGGAGUGUUGGACACAGUACACUCAGAAUAUUAAGGACUUAUUAAAGGGAGGCCUAUCAAUGUCUUAAUUGAUAGUGGAAACACUCACAACUUUGUUACCCCCAAGUGGGCCAAGGAAGGAGUUGAAUUAUUACGAACUCAUCCCUUGACAAUAACAGUGGCCAAUGGUGGGGAGCCAUUUAGCACAACAAAAUGCAAGCAAUUGAACUAGUACAUGCAAGGACAACCUUUUGAACAUUAUUUCAGAGUACUUUCUCUAGGAGGGAGUGAUAUGGUACUUGGGGUUGAUUGGAUGAGGCAAUUUAGUCCAGUGGUUAUGGAUUUCAAUGCUAUGACUGUUAGUUUCCAGUGGAAAUGGCAGAAUAUAACCUUAAAAGGGGGCCAAAAGAAUCCUGGAUUGAAGACCAUCUCUGGGGAGAAGUUGCAGAAAAUAGCAGAAAAAGAUCCAUAUAUGACGGGAGAUGUAAAUGCUUACUUUAGAAGAACUUGAAACAAAAAUUCGUAAUGAUUUAAACAAAUUGUUAAAUGAUUACUCUGAUGUGUUUGAAGAGCCAAAAGGGAUGCCACCAGUAAGGAGCCAUGAUCAUGCCAUUGUUCUCAAGCCAGAUGCCUAACCGAUAAAUCUCAGGCCCUACAGAUUUCCUUAUUACUAGAUGACUCAAUUGGGGAGGCAAAUUUCAGAUAUGUUGUCUUUGUCUAUCAUUCAAAGCAGUAAGGGCCCUUUUUCCUCUCCUUGUUUAUUGGUUAAGAACAAAGAUGAAAAUUGAAGAUUAUGUGUGGAUUAUAGACAACUAAAUACUAUGAAAGUAAAAAAUAAGUUUCCUAGUCCAAUAGUUGAGGAUUUGCUGUAUGGAUUUGCUGGGGCUAAAUAUUUUUAAAGAUGUUCUUAAGGUUAGGAUAUUGCAGAUCAAGAUUAAGGAAGAAGAUAUUCUUAAAACUGUAUUUAAAACCCACCAUGGGCACUUUAAAUUUAAGGUUAUGCCCUUUGAGAACAAAUGCUCUAGCAACCUUUCUGUCCUUGAUGAAUGAGAUUUUUGUUGAAAAAAAUGGUUUAGAAAACAAUGUUGUUAGGCACAAUAGAAGUUUAAUUUUUUCUUAAAACUGAGUGUUUAUAAUAUUUAUAACAAUAAGUCCUUAACCGAAAUUAUACUUGUGCUUUAUAUAAGCGGUCUAAGUCGAUCCAAGCUUUUUACCGAAUAGCUUCUCCGCUAUCCUUGAACCCUGAAUUGCUUUGAGUGUGGGUUCAAACAAAACAAACAAGUGCACAAAAUAAUAAUUUUCAUUGAAAGUUAAUUCUCUCAAUAAUAGGAAAUUAUGAGUUUUUCCUAGAAAAUAAAAUUUAUUCUUAAAAUAAAUUACCAUUAUUUUCUGACAAAAGAAUGACGCUAAAUGAUUUAUGUAAAUAAGUUAGCUCAUAGUUCCUAUUUAUAGAGAAAGAGUACAAGAGUUGUGUUCGAAUAAAGUGCAACUAAAUAAUAAUAAUUUAAUAGAAAAUACUAAUUCUACUCUAAGUAGAAUACAUAAAGGGAUAUCAUACCCUCUAAAAUACUAGGAAUUGUCAACCUUAUCAUUAACCGAGCCUAUUUUGGGCCAUUCAUGUAUUAAGUACAAUUAUAUGUGUUAUUCAAACUUUUAUCCAACAGUUAUAAUUUAUCCAACCCACUUUUUCCUUGAUGGUUCAUGUCUAUAUUACUAAUUUUCCUGUUAAGACUUGUUCAAGUUCAUGCUAUUGUGUUAAAACCAUAUAAGCCCAUCAAAUGAAAGAUUCUGGCGUGUCAGAAUCAAAUCAUUAAGAAAGCAUUAUUAGGUGUGACUGGAGGUUCUCAGGAUGUGCCUGUAUAUAGAUUCAUGAUUAAACAUUAUCUAUGUGGAAAAGGGAGAGCUUAUGUUAGUUGAACAAUUUGAUUAUCGGUUACAAUGUAUUUGAGCCCUAUGUUAGUUUUAAUCCAUUUGGGAUGAUGCAUGUCUUACUCGGAAAAUUGGACUGAUCUUUGCUCAAUCAGUGUUCCUUCUGCAUGUUUUCUCAAUUAAAUAGACAACAAUGAGGAAACACAAGUAAAUAGACAACAAUGAGGUAACAUAAUCAUAAAACAUAAUGAAGUUCAGAUAUUCCUUAAAAGUUAAAACAGCAAACGAUUGUCUCAGUUGGAGUGCAAUGUGGUUCAAAUAUGGAGAUCCAACAAUCUACAACAAAAAGACUUCGGUCUGGAGCUUAGAUUUGAUGAACACCACUAAAAGAAGAACCGAACAUAUUUGUCAUGUGUAAAUAUUAACUCCGUAUAUGUUUAUUAACUUUAAUUGCUUACAUUGCUGAAUUAUACAAAUAUCUGACUUUUUUCUUAUCACUUGUUGAAAGAACAUAAGAAGACUUCAUGUAAGCUAGGAACAAUAAAGAGAGAGGCAGAUGAACAGUAUCAAGCAAUCUGCAGAUUUCAGGAUAUCAAGGGAAAGACCAAAAGAAAACAACUCACCUCAUGGAUUAUUUGCUUCACCGACUUUUUAAAGGGAACAACUAAAUCCACAUGUUGUUCUUUGCUUAUCACUUGUUGAAAGAACAUAAGAAGACUUCAUGUAAGCUAGGAACAAUAAAGAGUAAGGCAGCUGAACAGUAUCAAGCAAUCUGCAGAUUUCAGGAUAUCAAGGGAAAGACCAAAAGAAAACAACUCACCUCAUGGAUUAUUUGCUUCACCGACUUUUUAAAGGGAACAACUAAAUCCACAUGUUGUUCUUUAGUGUCCUGCAGGAAAUCUUCAUCAUCUUCUUCUACAUUUGUGGCAGGCUCCAACAGAAGCAAAUAGAACAUCAGAAAUGACCUCAAAGUUGUCAUAGCAAAUGGCCUCAACUCAAAAGCUGAAUAAAGAGGCUUCAAUUCAACCUCAUACUCCUUCACAGCGUAUUUGAGAGCAUCAUUUUUUAAGUUCUUAACAUUCUUAACAAUAUCUUCAGAUAAUCUUUGUACAUUUGAAAGGUAAUCUUCAGGGAAUGCCGCAGCAGCAUCACAAUGAGAAACCUUGGGAUUACUGCAGCGCAAUCACUAGGCUAACAGUGUCAAAUUUAUGCACAAACAUGUCACCCAUUUACAUCAAUAAUUACUAAGCAAUUAUAACCAAAGAAGCUGCCUAGUACAGUAACAAUAACGAAAAUUUGAAACUAUUGAACUAUUCUAACAUAAACCCAAUCCACAGCGCUGUCCAUUUACCAAUAAACAAAGCAAAUACAGGCAUUCUUACACGCACAGAUGAAGGCAUGUAGCCUUCAGAAAAUACAUCAUACAUGUACACAUGAAAAAUGUAUAUGAAACCGAAAAGACAAAAACAAACCCAAUUGCCUAAAUUCAAUGAACAACCAUUAUCCAGUCCAAUCAAAUUAUCACUGUUCACUGAGCAUCAAAUUCAGUCAUGACUCGAGCAUACACAUACGGACGAUGAGAGGACCACUGAUACCUUUGCCUAAAUACCAUCAACAGCCAAAAUGGUUCUGCUAAUCACCACUGUCAACCAAGCAAAUAACAAAAGAACUACAGAAAUACACGGAUAUGAACAUACCCAAAAAGGAACCUGGAGGCAAAAGGGGUUCCAGCAACGAUGGUAGCGGCGGCUGAUGCGGCGGCAGCUGAGGCAGAGAAGAACCCAGAAGAGUGGAAGCUUUGUUGAUGGAGAGCUUCCACAAGUGCGCCCUCCGAAAUCGCCAUUGUAGAAGGACAUGAUUGAAUGUGCAGAGGUUUUGCCAUCCAUCCCUAGGUUAAAGUAAUGCGUUAUCGAGAUAACUGGAUAUCCUUAAAUAUUCUCUUCAGUUUCCCAUAGUUCUCAUAUUUAAUUCAGCCACCAAAAAAAAAAGGGGAAGAAAAGAGAAACUGUACAUGAAUAAGACAACAAAUGAGUGUAUGGUAGGAGCUGGUAUUUACAUUGAAAAGAUUAUGAAAUAACAUCAUCAGUUCGCCCCAAAAUGUGAUUCUACCCAGAUCCGCCCCUCAUCACUCUAAUCAAUAGAACAUUUUAAUAGCAUCCAAAAGAUGAAUAAAAACAGGGCUGCCAAGACAAAACAAGGCAUUGUAAUAAGCAACCAAAACAACUGUUGAAAAUGCUCCCUAUCUCUUGUAACACGUGCAGUAACAAGGAAAAAUCAACCGACUUGGAUUACUUCUCAUGUGCCAUCGUUGGGAGCUGGAGUUGAUAUAGGAGCACCAUGUGAAUAUCUCCAUUGGUCACAUGCUGAGCAUUUAUCCAGUUUCACACUGUUUUCCAAGGUGCAAAACUUGCAGGACCAAAAUUUGUACUUGGUGCCAAUGUCUCUGGGCCUUUCCGUGCAGCAAAGCUUGCAUAUUGGGGCUAAUGGCUGCAAUGUUUUCACAUCAAUGACAUGCAAAGUAAGUUUCCAAGAGAGGACAUUAAAAAAUAUAUAUAUUUCUCCAGUUCAGGAGGCAAACAAGUAACACAAAGCAUCUCUCACUGUACAAAAAAAAAAAAAGCAAACAUGGUCCGUGCCAAUAUUAAUAUAUCAUGGCCUGUGGAGCUCAAAAAGCUCAAAUUCAUGAUUAUUAAGAACAAUCAAAUUGAAAAAUAUGUGGGCCAAAUACCAUACAGGAUAAGAAUAUACAGCUCAAAAACAGGACCAAGCAUGCCAGCGUGAACAUUAUCAAUAUAAAUAUCAAAAUGUUUCAGCACAUAAAAUUCAAUAUAAAACAUGAACAUAUAUGUUAAACAAUAUGAUAUCCCAUUAUAAGCAAAGUAUUUGAAUGAAAUGAUAUUGGUGCAUGAAACACUUACUGGAUUCAAUAAAGUGCAUGAUUGGCACUCCCACACCGCAGUUACUCCUUGAUUUUCUGGAGAAUCAUCAUUAAGCAUGGGGGCAGAAGGAGUGGCACUUGAACUAGAUUGGUGAGGUAUAAGGUUGUUGGAUUUACAACUUCGUUUAGGAGAUUUGGCACCUUCAUUGAUAGAAGAUCUAGAUACAGGAGGGGUAGUUAAAUCCACAAAGCUGGAUUCCGGUUUAUCUUGCCUAUGGCUACGUUUAAGAGAGGUUCCACCAAAAGCAUGCCUGCUGGAAACAUCAUUGAUACUCGAACUCUCUCCUCCCUGAUCCAAGUCCAAAUGAUCCUGCAGAGGAUCAGCACAGCUUUCUUCAUCCCCAGCAAUCUCAGAGCAAUGGGAACCACACCAGAUAUCAUCCUGCAAUCUCCUUUCGGCAGCCAUUGCAGCUGCUUGUAUAGGACUAAGCGCAUCCCUAAUGGUGCUGUCACCACCAAGACGUUUAGGACCAGAAGGUAACAGAGACCCCAAGCGUGCUCUGUUCUCUGCUGCAGCUAAUGCAGUCUGACGAAGAGAUGAGAGUGGAGGUUGUCGGGAAAAUCCACCCAAGCGCCUCCCAGGAAGAUCAAACCCCUCCCCUGUGCCAGCUAUUCCUUUUGACAUGAGCUCCUCACAUUCCUACAUGCAUAUAACAAGGAAAAAUAUGCAAAGACAUUAAAACCACCAUGCGCUACUUAAAUAUAGACUCUCCAAAUUAUCUUCAUAUAUCAAGAUCUUUAGGAUACCUACGAUAAAAAUAAAGGUGCAUUUCUUAAAACCUUAACUAACCCCUAUUUAAUUGCAAUAAUUCCAGAAACACAAGUAAAUAGACAACAAUGAGGAAACAUGCAGAAGGAACACUGAUUGAGCAAAGAUCAGUCCAAUUUUCCGAGUAAGACAUGCAUCCCAAAUGGAUUAAAACUAACAUAGGGCUCAAAUACAUUGUAACCAAUAAUUAAAUUAUUCAACUAACAUAAGCUCUCCCUUUUCCACAUAGAUAAUGUUUAAUCGUGAAUCCCCCAUAUACAGGGACAUCCUGAGAACCUCCAGUCAUACCUAAUAAUGCUUUCUUAAUGAUUCGAUCCUCACACGCCAGAAUCUUUCAUUUGAUGGGCUUAUAUGGUUCUAACACAAUAGCACGAACUUAAACAAGUCUUAACAGGAAAAUUAGUAAUAUAGACAUGAACCAUCCAUGAAACAGCAUUUGGCACUGGAAAAUGAUGAUUAGGAACUAUCUAAAAGAAUGGAAAUGGACCUUUCUAAGCUCAUCCCAGAGCUUGUAAAAACUAGCAUUAUGAGGACCAUGAGCAUUAUGGCAAAGCUCGUGAAGCAUUGUAUCAAGAACUUGAUCAAAGGGAUAAAAAUCCCAAUCCCGGUUCGGUCUUCGUAGCCUUAACUUCACGUGGAUGCCAGCUCCCACAUUCAGCCCAAGCAAAGCUGGAUUAUUUGGACUAUCAAUAUGGGAAAAAAAAUCAAAACUAAAUUCAGUAUAAUUUUUGAAAGUCAAGCCAAAGUAACUCCUAGUAUGAUAACUCAAAGCAUGCAAACGCUUCACAAUUCUUUCAAUGCGUUAUUUGCCUUCGGCAUCAUGCUUCAGCAUUGAUAAAACACAUCUCAAUGCCAUAAAAGAAAAGCGCUUGAAUUUCAGUAGUAUAACCGUAAAUACCCAUUCUUCCAUCAAUCAUAAUUGAAGAAAAAGAAUUCAGCACAAUUGAAGAAAAAAAUCAUUCUCUUUAACAGAAUAAAAGAUACAAAAAUGAAUAAAAUUGAUAAAGAUACCAGAAUUCUGAGAGGAGCUUGACUCUCCAUUUAUGCUUACGCAUAAUGGGUUGAACUUGUUUGGCUAUUUUCUCUAAGAUUUUUUUGGCUUCUUCUUCUCCAGGUUUCCUCUUCAAUGCUUUGAUUUCCCAGACCUUGUGCAAAUCCCCCAAAUUCAUUUUCCUUUUUCAGAAGCUUAAGUCACCGGAGGAACACCAAACGCCUCUCGAUUUUCCCUUAAAACGUGUUAGAUAAAUUAGGUAACAUAAAAUACAGAUUUUUGCACCACAAUCUUGAAAUUCCAAAAUCCUCAAACACCCAACGAACAAUUUAAUUAAAAGAGUAGAAACGAACGAACGAAAACUUACCUUCACAAUAGUAUUAUAGAUUCAAUUUUUAUUAUAGAUUCAACAUGAAAAAAUGAAUCCCAAACAAAUGUUUCAAAAAUGUUUUAUUUUUUCAGCAUGCCUCUAAGACACUAAUCUGGUAAUAAAAAACACUAUUAAAUCUAAAAGAAUAGUGUUAAUGGCAUCAAUUAUGUUAAUUUGACUAAAUUCAUCUCCAAACAACAUAAUUCAAGGAUUAAAUAGACACAGCAAUAAAAUCUUCAAUACCCAAAAGAAAAAAUCUUGCAUAGACACGAAAUUAAAAACAAAAAUUGAAACAUCAAUACAUAUAAAUGAAUCCCAAAUCAUUCGAAUUGAAAACCAAGAAAUAUAGAAGCAAUCAAAGAUAGAGCUGACCUAAAUUGGAUUUGGAAGGCUAAUUCGUCCUUCAAAAGAGAUAAAGCUCAGUUUGGGUACACUGAAUAUCUGUCCCUUUAAAAAGGGGUGAAGCGUCAAUAGAUGCUGUGUGGAGCCUGGAAGGAAGCAGAGAUGGCGAUAACUAAUAGCAGGCAACCAAGAAGAUGAAUAACCACAAAACUGUCCUUUCAAUUUUGGGUUUUGAUUAAAUGAGUUCUCACUUUUUUUCCUCUUUUAAUUCUAGCCCACAUGCCUGCCAGUGAAAAGCCCAAUAUUAUUGGUUUAAUUAUGGUUUUAGUCCUCUAUACUUAUUUUAAAACAUUUUGUUAUUAUAUUUUUUUAUUUGAAAAUAUUGGUCCUUCAAAAUAUUGGUCCUUCUGUUUUACCGUUAAAAUGGUUGAUUUGAUUGUUAUAAAAAAUAUAAAAUAUUGGUCCUUACUUUUAAAAGUAUAUAAACAAUUACGAAAAGGAUAAACUACACCAUUAAUUAUUAAACUAUAUGUAAGUUUUCGUUUUAGUCACUUAACUAAAAAAAGUUACUAUUUGGUCACUAAACUACUCAAAAAUUUUCAUUUAAGUUACUUUGCUAGUAAAAUUGAUGUUAUAUGGCUUUCUUUGUUUGCACUGUCUGCACCAAUUGAAAGUUCUCUUUUCCCUAUUGUUUCAUAGUUCAGUUUUUUCAUUAUAUAGCUUUUGACGUCACAAAUCUACAAACCAAAAUUCAAAAAACUUUUUUCUUUGAUCUUUGACAUUAACCGUCAAAUUGACUUGGAUCUAAGGUAUGUCUUUCUACUCUUCAAUUUAGCUCAUUCGAGUUCUGAUCAAUUUAAGUUUAGAUCAUACGAGUUUUUAGAGACUAGUUAUCUAAUAUUCAAAUUAUUUUAGUUUCGAAUCAUUUUCAGUUUAGGUGAUUCUAAAUUUAGAUUCAAAUUUUUUAUAUUUAAUAAUCAAAUUCGAUUGAAAUAUAUUUAAUUUCAAGUUAAUUGGUUUAAAUGACAAAUCUGAUUUUUUUGGUUAAUUUAACUCUAAACGUUUACAUAUUUUGUCAAUUUUGCUCAUAUUCUUUUUUAUUUAAUUUUGACCAUUAGCGUUUUAAAAUGAGUCAAAUCUUUUGUUUAAUAGAAAUGCUAACAGUGGUAUGGCAACCCAUGUGUUAGUCAACGUGUAUUUUAUACUGACAUAUCACUAUUUGUCUAUAUGUCACAUAAAAAGUAAUUUAAAAAAUAUAAAAUAUUUAGAAAUUAAAAAUUAAAAAAUAAAAACAUUCAUAAAAUUAAAAAUAUAUAUAGUGUGAAGUGAUAACUCUCAUAUUUAGAGUUGUUUUAGUACAGUUUUUAUAAUGUUUUAGGAGGUAAUUUUAGCACUUAAAUUAGUUUUUAGUGCAUUUUAUAGUUUUUCGGAUUAAUUAUGUUUUAUUUGAUUUUUAUUAUUUUUAGCGUUAUUUUGGUUUUAAUUGCUAUUUUACUCUUUACGUUGUAGGUUUCGAAUGGAGAACGGAAGGCUUGGAGCAUAGAGUAAAAAAGUAGUUAAGAGAAGUCUUCUGCUCUACUAGAUUUCAGUGCGAUGGAUCCUAGUUUUAGUUAAUUAAUUUAUUCUCUCUUCAAUUGUUUUGAUUUUUGUUAAUUAUCUAUUCAGUCCUGUGUUUAUUUAAUUUGCUUACCUGAUCACCAAGUUGUAUUAAUUUGAUACUUUUGAUUUGUCUUGGAAGAGAAAAUUAAGGUUUAGAUCUAGACUUAAUAGCAGGGGCGUAUCCAGGGGGGCUGGCAUGGGCCCGGCCCCCUCAAAAUGUAAAAUUACAUUUUAGGCCCUUAAAAUUUUUUAAAAAUUUUAAAUUAGUAAAGGUAAAAUUACACUUUGGCCCCUAAAAUUAUAAAAAUUUGAUUUAAUCAUUUACAAAUUAUAAAAAUAUAAACUAUAAAAAAUUAAAAUUUCAUCCGGCCCCCACUAAAAAAUUUUUCUGGCUUCGCCCUGCCUAAUAGAUUAGGAUUAUCUUUAGUAGUGCAAACGAAUAAGUUAAUUUGUGGCUAGGAUAGGAAUAUACAUGAUGACAUUAUCAACCCAAUAAGUUUAUUCGUAGUGUCUCAGCCCAACUUGCCUAGCAAAGGAAUAUACCUAGUGGGGAAAGAGGGGGUUAACUUAGCUAGAUACUCGAAAGGUCUAGUUAAUGCCAUUGAAUCUUGAGUUAGUAAUUACAUAGAUUGAACAAUUGAAUGAGAGCUAAAAUAGGUGAAGUUAGAGUUCCAAGAGCUUAAAAUUGAUUGAAAAACUUAGUAAUUUUCAUUGUUUUAGUUUAAUAAAAUAUCUUUUAACUUGUUUAUAAUUUAUUUUCUUGAUCUGGAUUAGAUAAAACUAAAUAGUUGGUACUUAGCAACUUAGAAUUUGGUCCGCGUGGGAAUGACAUCUUCUUAUCACUUUAUUACUUGAUUCGGGACAUGCACUUGCGUGAUGAAUUUUCACACAUCUUGAAGCAUAUAUGGAUUGUCAUGCGAGCUAAUAUGUUUAAAGAUUUAAUAUUUUAGUUAGUAAUUUCGUUAAAAAAAUAGUCUAAUCCGAUUUUUUUAAAAAAAGAUUGAGAGCUAAAUUUAACUAAAAAUGAAUAAAAAUCAAAUUGACAAAUGAUAUAAACGUUGAGACCGAAAAUGAAUAUGUGAUGCCACUAAAACGAAGACCAAACUUCGUAUUGUAACACAUUUCCUCAUGUGGUGCUGCUUUAAACACCCGAAAUUGCUUUCUGAGUUUCUCAUCCACCUCCAAAAUUGCAGCAACGUUACCAUAUUUGCAUCAUCACCACCAUGAACCAACCAACCACCAAUUGGCACAAGGGAAGAAAAAAAAUCAUUUACCUGUAGCGGUAAUUGGGAGCUGACCAGAUGGUGACUCUUUGGUUAUUCAACAUCUAUUUGUACCCUUCCAUGACCAACUGAUGGGCACGACAUAUAUAGUCGAUGUUGUUGGUGUGGUUGAACAUAGAAAUGUUGGUGCUACCGAAGAGGAAUUCUGCACCACGCAGACUCAAAGCCCAACCAUCGACGACAUCUUCUGGAUCUGACCACAACAAGUCACACAUGGCACCAUCAUGAGGUACUAACAAAGAAAUGUUAGUACGUAUGUUGUGAAUGAAAUUAUCAAACUUCUUCUUCUUCUUUUCUUUUAUAAAAUUCAUUGUCACUACCAAGGUUAUGACAACCAGAGCCUACAAAGAUUCACUAGUCGAGUUAGGAAAGCAAAAAAAGGUGAACACUAUGGUGGGAGCCGAGGGCACUAGAUUCACACAGUUGCAUGAGCAAAUACAAUGGUGCAGGAACAAUUAGAAAGCCUGCAAGAUGAAACCAAAAUUCCCAAGUGGUGGGAAGAGCAAAAAAGUAGUAUCGAUGACACAUUUGUAGAAACACAGAGAUAUAUUAGUAGAAUAUUGGAGUCAUUGACCAAAAAGGUCCUCCUCCAAUACACCUGAAACACAAAGAAACAACAUGAAUCAGGUAGCUACUAAUACCUAAUCAAAAGCAGAUAAAAAAAACACCAAUAUAAGUCAUUGUUAUAGAUGAGCAUGAAAGAUAACCUUCCAACUUGGGGAACCAAACUAAAUUCCCAAUAUGAACCCAAAUCCUGAAAAAAAGAUACCAACAAAAAACAAGACUUGGUAAAACUUGACAGUUCAUCUGAACCUCCAUUACCUGAAACAAAUCAAAAUAACAACGCUGCUACUGCUAAAAACCUUGGGAUGGGUCAAGAAAUGUCAAAGAUAUUUCUCAAUGUUUUCUGUAGCUGAGGAUCAGAAGGUUGAUAUUGCUUCCAUGUAUUUGGUGGGAAAGGCAGAGACUUGGUAUGAUGGCUAUAUUUUGCAAAAGCAUCGAACCACUUGGC